rnacentral:rRNA from 1 species
AGGACGAACGCUGGCGGCGUGUCUAACACAUGCAAGUCGAACGAAGCAUAGUAAUAUGCUUAGUGGCGGACGGGUGAGUAACGCGUGAACAAUCUGCCCUAUACAAAGGAAUAGCCUCGGGAAACUGGGAUUAAAACCAUAUAACACUUUAGUACCGCAUGGUACAGAAGUCAAAUUGAUUAAGAGGUAUAGGAUGAGUUCGCGUCUGAUUAGCUAGUUGGUAAGGUAAUGGCUUACCAAGGCGACGAUCAGUAGCCGGCCUGAGAGGGUGAACGGCCACACUGGAACUGAGACACGGUCCAGACUCCUACGGGAGGCAGCAGUGGGGAAUAUUGCACAAUGGAGGAAACUCUGAUGCAGCGACGCCGCGUGAGUGAAGAAGGUCUUCGGAUCGUAAAACUCUGUCCUUGGUGAAGAUAAUGACGGUAGCCAAGGAGGAAGCCCCGGCUAACUACGUGCCAGCCGCCGC